rnacentral:rRNA from 1 species
UAAUACGUAGGGUGCAAGCGUUAUCCGGAAUUAUUGGGCGUAAAGAGCUCGUAGGCGGUUUGUCGCGUCUGCUGUGAAACCCCGAGGCUCAACCUCGGGCCUGCAGUGGGUACGGGCAGACUAGAGUGCGGUAGGGGAGAUUGGAAUUCCUGGUGUAGCGGUGGAAUGCGCAGAUAUCAGGAGGAACACCAAUGGCGAAGGCAGAUCUCUGGGCCGUAACUGACGCUGAGGAGCGAAAGCAUGGGGAGCGAACAGGAUUAGAUACCCUGGUAGUCCAUGCCGUAAACGUUGGGAACUAGAUGUAGGGUCCAUUCCACGGAGUCUGUGUCGCAGCUAACGCAUUAAGUUCCCCGCCUGGGGAGUACGGCCGCAAGGCUAAAACUCAAAUGAAUUGACGG